rnacentral:rRNA from 1 species
AAGCGUGGGGAGCAAAUAGGAUUAGAUACCCUAGUAGUCCACGCCGUAAACGAUGGUCACUAAGUGUCGGGGGUCAAACCCCGGUGCUGCAGUCAACGCAAUAAGUGACCCGCCUGAGUAGUACGUUCGCAAGAAUGAAACUCAAAGGAAUUGACGGGGGCCCGCACAAGCGGUGGAGCAUGUGGUUUAAUUCGAUGCAACGCGAAGAACCUUACCUGGUCUUGACAUCCACGGAAGUUUUCAGAGAUGAGAAUGUGCCUUCGGGAACCGUGAGACAGGUGCUGCAUGGCUGUCGUCAGCUCGUGUUGUGAAAUGUUGGGUUAAGUCCCGCAACGAGCGCAACCCUUAUCCUUUGUUGCCAGCGGUCCGGCCGGGAACUCAAAGGAGACUGCCAGUGAUAAACUGGAGGAAGGUGGGGAUGACGUCAAGUCAUCAUGGCCCUUACGACCAGGGCUACACACGUGCUACAAUGGCGCAUACAAAGAGAAGCGACCUCGCGAGAGCAAGCGGACCUCAUAAAGUGCGUCGUAGUCCGGAUUGGAGUCUGCAACUCGACUCCAUGAAGUCGGAAUCGCUAGUAAUCGUGGAUCAGAAUGCCACGGUGAAUACGUUCCCGGGCCUUGUACACACCGCCCGUCACACCAUGGGAGUGGGUUGCAAAAGAAGUAGGUAGCUUAACCUUCGGGAGGGCGCUUACCACUUUGUGAUUCAUGACUGGGGUGAAGUCGUAACAAGGUAACCGUAGGGGAACCUGCGGUUG